rnacentral:rRNA from 1 species
GUGCAGCAGUCGCGCAACCUCUGCAAUACGCGAAAGCGUGACAGGGCUACCCCGAGUGCCGUCCGCUGAGGAUGGCUUUUCUCCGGUGUAGUAAGCCGGAGGAAUAAGGAGAGGGCAAGUCUGGUGUCAGCCGCCGCGGUAAUACCAGCUCUCCGAGUGGUAGGGACGAUUAUUGGGCCUAAAGCGUCCGUAGCCGGCCAAGCAAGUUUCCCGUUAAAUCCAGCGAUCCAAUCGUUGGACUGCGGGAAAUACUGUUUGGCUAGGGGGCGAGAGAGGCCAACGGUAUUCCCGGGGUAGGGGUGAAAUCCCAUAAUCCCGGGAGGACCACCAGUGGCGAAGGCGGCCGACUAAAACGCGCCCGACGGUGAGGGACGAAAGCUGGGGGAGCGAACGGGAUUAGAUAUGAAGUUGAGUUUUUGCCAGCUUCACUAGAUACCCCGGUAGUCC